AUGAAUGUUGAUUCCGGGUUCUCCAAGAUUGGAGAUAGAGCGGCCUCAGCUGUGGUAUGUAGGGACAAACGAGGAAAGUACCUAGGCGCCUCGGCAGUCAUCUAUGAGGGCCGAUCUGACCCUACCAUCCUUGAGGCACAGGCUUGUAGUGAGGCUCUCUCACUUGCAGCAGAUUUGCAUAUUCAAUCAUUUUGUGUUGCAUCAGAUUGUCUGGAAGCGGUCAACGACAUCAACUCAGGAACUCAUGGUACCACUGGCCCAAUCGUUAGAGAAAUAAAAACCGAUUGUGGUGACUUUCAGGCUAUCUCUUUUGUUCAUGAAGGACGUUGCUCCAAUACAGAGGUGCAUAGUUUAGCUAGACGUGCUUUGCAUUUGGGUGAAGAGCGCCAUGUUUGGCUUCUACAACCCUUUGAUACUCUGCUUAUUCUUGUAAACCGUUCCAUUGAUCAAUAA
rnacentral:rRNA from 1 species